rnacentral:rRNA from 1 species
CUCGUAGGUGGUCUGUUACGUCUGCUGUGAAAACCUAGGGCUUAACCCUGGGCCUGCAGUGGAUACGGGCAGACUAGAGGUAGGUAGGGGAGAAUGGAAUUCCCGGUGUAGCGGUGAAAUGCGCAGAUAUCGGGAGGAACACCGGUGGCGAAGGCGGUUCUCUGGGCCUUACCUGACACUGAGGAGCGAAAGCGUGGGGAGCGAACA